GGGCUUUUUAAUUCUUUUAUAACAAUUUAUCAUGACAAAUUAAAAACAGACAAACAAAAAUAUGUUUCACUUAAUAUAUCAAAAUAAUUUGUACAACAAAAAUCAUAGAAAAAAUUGUUUAACAUAAACAGCCUUUUCAUAAAUACUAUAUUUUGAAUCAAAAUAGAACAUAGAACUAUAAUUUUAUUUAUUUUAUUUAAUACAGUUCAGUGUAAUAAUGGAAGGGACAAAAUUUAAAAUUUCACUAAUAAUUAAUUUUGAAUUCUUGUGAUUGGUAAUCUCGUUCCGUAAAAAUAGACUUUUCUGCUCUAUUAGAAUAUAAUAUUGAAGCUCUUUUAUCAUCUUAGUAAAAAAUUAUAUAUAUAUUAUUAUAAUCAUACAUUAAAAGUUAAAAUGUUCUAGUAGUUAUGAUAUCUAUUUAAUAAUUUAUUUAUUGAAAUAUAAAAUAACUUAAUAAAUUUCCACACAUUGGAGCCCACAUUCUGGGUCUCUGAUUUGAACCAAAUGAAGUCCCUGCUUGUAAUGCUUCAAAUAAACUCUCCAUAACUCCUUGUGUGUGAUAACCAUUAAUGUUAACUAAUACAUUUUUAUGAGCUAACAGUUGUUUUUUUUCUUUUUCAAGUUUUUUUAUAAGCAUCACCAGUCCAAGGUGACUUUUUCCUCUGCCACUUAGUGCUUAUGAUUCUCCCUUUGAUAAUGCUACAAUUGUUUCAUUAAAUUAAAUUUGAUAUUUUUUAAUUGAAAU